CAACAUGAGCCGUACAAGGGUGAAGUGAUCAAUGCCUCUGUUUUCCCACCAGCUGAGGCUCUCUUCCUACCUCUUCCCUUGGCCUCGACUUGUGUUUGUUUUGUUCAGCUGGGGAGACCACCAAGCAGGAGCUCUUCUCUAUUGCACACCCCCAGUGGUAGCAGAUGUCACAGGCUGACUUGCUGGCUGCAUUGAAUAGAAGUUGGAUGAUUUGUGUCUCUUUUCCUCCUGUUUGGAUACUUGCUAUCUGUACUGUGAAAGACAUUUGCUAUCUU